AUGCAUGUCUAAGUACACGCCUUUACACGGCAAAACUGCGAAUGGCUCAUUAAAUCAGUUAUGGUUCCUUAGAUCGUACAAUCCUACUUGGAUAACUGUGGCAAUUCUAGAGCUAAUACAUGCAACACAGCUCCGACCCUCGCGGGGAAGAGCGCUUUUGUUAGCCCAAAACCAACGCGGCGGUCGUUCACGCGGCCGUCGCUCUACUAUGGUGACUCUGAACAACUUUGUGCCGAUCGCACGGCCUUUGCGCCGGCGACGCAUCUUUCAAGUGUCUGCCCUAUCAACUGUCGAUGGUACGUGCUAUGCCUACCAUGGUGAUAACGGGUAAC
rnacentral:rRNA from 1 species